AACGAACGCUGGCGGCAGGCUUAACACAUGCAAGUCGAGCGCCCCGCAAGGGGAGCGGCAGACGGGUGAGUAACGCGUGGGAAUCUACCCAUCCCUACGGAACAACUCCGGGAAACUGGAGCUAAUACCGUAUACGCCCUUCGGGGGAAAGAUUUAUCGGGGAUGGAUGAGCCCGCGUUGGAUUAGCUAGUUGGUGGGGUAAUGGCCUACCAAGGCGACGAUCCAUAGCUGGUCUGAGAGGAUGAUCAGCCACACUGGGACUGAGACACGGCCCAGACUCCUACGGGAGGCAGCAGUGGGGAAUAUUGGACAAUGGGCGCAAGCUUGAUCCAGCCAUGCCGCGUGAGUGACGAAGGCCUUAGGGUUGUAAAGCUCUUUUGGCGGGGAAGAUAAUGACGGUACCCGCAGAAUAAGCUCCGGCUAACUUCGUGCCAGCCGCCGCAGUAAAAC
rnacentral:rRNA from 1 species